GACGAACGCUGGCGGCGUGCUUAACACAUGCAAGUCGAACGGUGAAGCGCCUUCCUUUUUGGUGGGUGUGGAUGAGUGGCGAACGGGUGAGUAACACGUGAGUAACCUGCCCCCUUCUUCUGGAUAACCGCAUGAAAGUGUGGCUAAUACGGGAUAUUCUGGGUCUGUCGCAUGAUGGGUCUGGGAAAGAUAUUGUUUCGGUGGGGGAUGGGCUCGCGGCCUAUCAGCUUGUUGGUGGGGUGAUGGCCUACCAAGGCGGUGACGGGUAGCCGGCCUGAGAGGGUGGACGGUCACACUGGGACUGAGACACGGCCCAGACUCCUACGGGCGGCAGCAGUGGGGAAUAUUGCACAAUGGGAGCAAGCCUGAUGCAGCGACGCCGCGUGAGGGAUGGAGGCCUGCGGGUUGUGAACCUCUUUCGCCAGUGAAGCAGGCCUGCCUCGUUUGUGGGUGGGUUGACGGUAGCUGGAUAAGAAGCGCCGGCUAACUACGUG
rnacentral:rRNA from 1 species